CGGCGGCGGCAGCAGUGAUGGAAAUCCCGCGUUCGGAAAGAAAAGAAGAGGACGAGCUCGUGACGAGUCGACGCCGACCGUCCGAUCGGAACGCGCCACGUCACCUCUCCGAACGGACGGACGACAGCGACCUGCCCCUACAGGCUCCUCUCGCUGCCGGUGGGUCCCAACGCCUUUGACAUCUCACAUCCUGGCACACGUGACGCUAUCUGUGUAAAUCUCACUUCUACGAAGCGCGUAGCAUAACUCCUUGUCCUCCAGUCCUCCUCCCCUCCGCGGCUUCUCGCAGUGCUUCGUGAAUCCUAAAUUCACGCCGAUCCGACGCGAAUCGAUCGAGAGGCAGGAGGCAGCACGAUUCGGAUCGAGACGAGCGCCAUGAACCCGAGAGGGUAAGAUUCUGCGCCUUUUUGUUGCUUUGAGCUUCGAAUUUUGUGACAUGGUGUUCGGAUAUCAGGGUUGAUGAGCGCAAGCGAUUUGUUAGUAGGGCCCGUUGUGGAUGGAUCACACGCGAUUAGUGCGAUCGGUACGCUGUGAUUGUUAAGGAUUAAGACGAUGUGCUGCUGUCUACUUACCUUGGCUUGUAGAUAAUUCAGUUGUUGUCUCAAAAUUAUGGUUGAGGAAUUCCUUCCAAAGACAAAUCGAUUGCUGUAUUGGACAGUUUCAUUUCCCCAACUCUAAGUUUGUUGUUUGUUUGAGGAUCACGAAUCUAGGUUUAUCAGACAUGGAAGUUGGUUUCACGUGAUUAUUGAAUGGGCUUGUUUUGCUUAUCUGUCUCAAGAGAGAAGAGACCAAUAAAUUUGUAACUUGGGACUCUAAGCGCUACUAUUCUCUCUGUUUUUUUAACGUCUCUGUCUUUCAAUUUGCCUUUCAAUUAAAAAAAUAGAAUUGAUCUAGUUUUAAGAAAAUUCGGGUCCAACACCUACACAAAGUGCACAAAUAAUCUAGACAACGGUAGCCCCCCACACAAAGCUCAUAUAGAGUCAUCGUUACCGAGCUCAACACAAGGAACAAGCAACUCUGACUCCGCAAGAUGGGCCACUCAUGACCAAAGGAACUCGACGACACCUACACCCAAAACCCGACACAGAAGGAGGAAGACCACGGUGCACUGUCGUUGCCAAGCCUCAACACACCACACGCGAGACAACUUUGAUUCUUUUCACCAACAAGCUUUAUCCUUGCCCCACCCCAACAUUUGCCCAACCUCCGAAACAAUCUAGUCCAUAAAAAAGGGGUUUCGCCUCAUGUCAUAGUUACCAAGCCAAUCUCUAAACGUAGCAGUUUCGAUUUCACGUUGCAAAAUCCCACCUCUACCCCGCAAACCAAACGUUGAGAAGCGAAGACAUCAACUGAAGGUGACGUCGCGGUCGAGACGAACUUCUAUAGCGAUGUCUUUAGUAAAGGAGUGACGUCUCGGACGCCACCCUCACUUGUCCUAGAAGGACCGGGCUUUCGCCUAUGUAAAACUGUGCUGGAAACGUGACGCACUCAGCAGAUAAACGGCGCCCAUGAUUUUCAUCGUCGCUAAGCCUGAUGUCACCCAGCACAUAACAUAGCUAGGCUAGAACCCCGCGUCAAAGCAUGCAGCCUCCAACGUUGUUGCCGCCCGGGCUUCUGCACAAACCCCUCCAAAGGGCAUCAACGCGCCGCCGCAAUGCUGCGUCGGCCGCCACCCCUCCGGCUGGGCACACGGAACCGGGCAACAACUUGCCACAUGCGUCACACUGCCGCGCACCAAAGCCGAAGCCCGCUGUCGCUGUCGGCCCUGGCACCCGCGGGCACCAAAGCCACCUGCCGUCGGGCGCUCCACCGCCGUCGCCACCAUCUUGUGCCUGCCCAGGUCACUUGUUGUCGUUGCCAUGCCAUCAAACGAGAGGAGGGCCCCGUCGCCGCCGCCAUCUCGGCCGACCGCGUAGCCCUGCUGGCGCACCUCGCCGGGCCACUGGACGCCUCUCUCCAUCCGUGCAGCCUCCCAACGCCCAAGCAGGUUCCACCCCUCCUCCCCACAAGCACCACCACCUCAAUGGUGUCGAUCCAGCAAGGGAGGGCCAGAUACAGGCCGACGGGGCCUAGAUCUGCCGGCAAGCGCAGCCCUUACACCCACCUCUCCUCCUCCCCACCCCCAAGUCGUUUCUCACGCAGAGGACCGCGCUCGUGAGAGGCAGGGGCGCGGGGUCUACGUUAACACCUGCCCUUGAAUCCGCCUGCAUCGACAACCUUCAUGCCGCCGCCGCCCUUCAAGUAGUCGCCAAUGCCGCGUGGCACCCGCCCUUGAGGUGCGGGUGUGGGUGGGAGGGGAGAGCUGAGGAGCUCCUCGCCGCCGCCUUCCUCGUGCCCGCGUGAGCCUCUCUGCAGGUCGCUCCGGCGAUGGCGAGACUGGGGAGCGGGAGGGAGGUAUUGGCGAGCGCGCCGCCUUGGCUCCGCCUGUGUUGCCCGUGGGGAACGACACGGGCGUGGGGAGUGGGGACUCUCCCGUCCUCUUAAGCGCUACUAUUCUAAAGCUACUGAUCCCUUUGUUUAUUUGUGCUGAUAUUUCUGCGUGUUAACAGAUUCAUACUUUGCCCGCUAUCACUGCCUCAUGGUCAAAAUUCUUUCUGUUAGGUCUCUAUUUCUGUCCCUCUCUAUCUCUGUCACAAGCUCUGUAAUCUGUAGUUCUGCAUAAGACUGCAUCUUUACAAAUAAUCCAAUUAUGGAAGGGAAUGAAAUCAUGAAAAGGAUAUGCUGGAGCAAUAUAGCUAUAAUUAGAAAAAUAUAAGACACAGUGAUCCUGCAUAACCGCAGUACAUGAAUUUCAUCUUAGACGGAAUUAACAGGCUCUCUAUGGUAACUAUGGAUCUCAAUUGUAUUGCUAAUUGGGGCUAUUAUGUACUACUAAUGUCAUUGCCUAGUUAUUGUCACACCCUUUUUUGUCAACUUGUAGUGGUUUUCUGUCGUACCAAAACAUUUUAGCAGACAAUGUUUUGUCUUAUUUCGUGAUAUGGGUCCAGAGAACUGUGUUUGUCGGUCUAUCACAGAGUAUGCAAGUUCCCCAUUUCUGAUUUAUUGAAACAACAUUGUGUUCCUCUAAAAAUAGUUCCUUUCUGCGUCAACUUCAAUGCAUAAUGGUAGAUAUGGGAUCCUUGUCAACCAUGUGCUUUCCUGGACCAGUUUAGUUUGAAAUAUUUGAAAGUAGUUAAGCACAGUUUUCUGGUUAAUUUUACGUAAAGGGAAUACGAUGGUCCUUGCAAUGCUGUAUUGAUGGCUGCAUUGAUGCUAUCUGAAUAUUUCAUUGGCCGAACUUUUUUUUUAGUGUGGUAUGCAUUUGGAAGCUAACAACUAGAAUGUCUACAUUAAUAAGUUGUCAGGUGAUAUCCACGAAGAGGUGGAGACUCAUAACAGAAUGCUAGACCGAAUGGGGAGCGACAUGGAUACAUCAAGGGGCUUUCUCUCUGGCACCGUGGGCAAAUUCAAGACGGUGUUCGAGACCAAAUCUACUGGUUUACUACUUGACCAGGUAGAAUCAUCCACGGUGAAAGUUUUGUGGGGCUGGGCGUGUUCAAGAACAUUCUGAAAAUGGACGUGCUGAUCUGGUGGUGCCGUGCCGCGUAUAUAUAUACUCAUGAGUAGCAGAGUAUGCUGAUGUGGGUUCCGUGAACACCGCAGCGUGUUGGGUCGAACCUCUCUCUGCUACAGGAAAUUGUUGUCCGUUCCUUUGGCAUGAUAUGUGUGUAUGGAGGGAGUAUGUACAUGUGGUAUUACCGUACUAGUAAGGUCCUCUUUAGAAGCAAUUAUUUUUUAGCUAAGAGAGAUUAGCUUCUUAGUUUUUAACAAACUAA